UUCCCUGUGACUUCACAUAAAGCUGAGCUGUGGUCUUCAAAGCUGAAAUGAGUCUUUACCCAGAUGGAGCUGGUGCUGGGGGAACACCUCGCCCCUGUGUGCCCGGUGACCGGGUUUUGCAGAGGGCAGCAGUUUCAAACAGGAGCUGCUGUCAACAAACCUGGCUCCCCGUGGAAAUAUUUCUCCUCCUGCAACAAAUCAGAGGGCGGGGCUGCCUCGCUGACGGCCAGCCUCCGCCACAAAUAGGACCACGGCUCUCCCCAGGAUGUCCUCCAAUCUCCGGAUCCAGGGCGGGGUCUGCGGGGUCGAAACCAGAGAGAGAAUCCCAAAAAUGACAUCUAUAUUGCGGUGGAGCAGGGGACGACCGGGGCUCUGAGGGAAGAAAGGAGUCAGAGCUGGAUCUCGUUUUGUAGGAUCUUGACAAAGCAACAGACGCAGGAAAAAGACGCAGUAAAUUAGGCACGGUUUCCAGUUUGGGUGCUUCAGCUUCAGCGCGGACUUAUGUUGCCUUUGCGGAAACGUAGCGAGUUGCAUUUUUGAGAAAAUCUCAAGGAGGCAUUUGUUCUUAAUAGCUGACUAGAUAAGUGAAUCGGCGCCGAGGCUCCGUUUCCUGUGUUUGCCAGCGCGCUGCAGCUGGGCUGAAGAAGCCCCGCUGGUACCGACUUCUCAACACAUCCAGUCCGCUUCGAAAGUCGGUGAGAGAAAGAAAGAAAAAACGAAAUGUGCGACUUGAUGCCAGCCUCCCAGCCAGCGGAGAAAAUCGGCAAAAUGAAAAAGUUGAGGAGAACUUUGUCGGAGAGUUUCAGGAGUAUCGCUUUCAAGAAGGAGGACAGCGGCUUUGAUGAGAUAUGUGUCACAAAGAUGUCCACACGCAGCUGCCAGGGAACAGACUCAGUCAUCAAGCCCCUGGACACCAUUCCUGAGGACAAGAAAGUGAGAGUUCAGCGCACGCAGAGUGGCUUCGACCCAUUCGAGAGGCCAGCCAGUCAGGUGAAGAGGGUCCACUCUGAGAACAAUGCCUGCAUCAACGCCAAGAGUUCAUCUGCCGGCAAGGAGUCGCCAAAACUGCGCCGUCACUCCAGCCCUAGUUCUCCCACAAGCCCAAAGUUUGGAAAAGCAGAUUCCUAUGAAAAGCUGGAGAAGCUGGGAGAAGGUUCAUAUGCUACAGUAUACAAAGGAAAGAGCAAGGUGAAUGGGAAGCUGGUGGCUCUGAAGGUGAUUCGUCUACAAGAGGAGGAAGGAACGCCCUUCACAGCCAUAAGAGAAGCAUCUCUUCUGAAAGGCCUGAAGCACGCCAACAUCGUGCUCCUCCAUGACAUCAUCCACACCAAGGAAACCCUGACUCUGGUCUUUGAAUAUGUGCACACAGACCUGUGCCAGUACAUGGACAAACACCCUGGAGGUCUCCAUCCAGACAAUGUGAAGCUGUUCCUGUUCCAGCUACUCAGAGGCUUGUCCUACAUCCACCAGAGGUACAUCCUUCACCGUGACCUGAAACCACAAAAUCUGCUCAUCAGCGACACCGGAGAGCUCAAACUCGCUGACUUCGGUCUGGCCAGAGCUAAGUCAGUCCCCAGCCAUACCUACUCCAAUGAGGUGGUGACCCUGUGGUACCGGCCUCCAGAUGUCCUGCUGGGAUCCACAGACUAUUCCACCUGCCUGGACAUGUGGGGAGUGGGCUGCAUCUUCAUUGAAAUGAUCCAGGGUGUGGCUGCCUUUCCAGGGAUGAAGGACAUCCAGGACCAGCUGGAGAGGAUAUUCCUGGUCCUUGGCACCCCAUCUGAGGAUAACUGGCCAGGUGUAAACUCCUUGCCUCACUUCAAACCAGAUCGGUUUACAGUGUACAGCGCCAAGAAGCUCAGACAAGCGUGGAACAAGUUGGGCUACGUGGAUCAUGCUGAGGAGCUGGCCUCCAGGUUCCUCCAGUGCUUCCCAAAGAACCGGCUGUCGGCCCAGGCAGCACUGAACCAUGAGUACUUCAGCAACCUUCCUCCACGGCUCUGGGAGUUGCAGGACAUGUCUUCUAUCUUCACCAUACCAAAUGUCAAGCUGCAGACAGAGAGCGGGGACAGCAUACAGGUGUGUGUACGACGGAACAGUCAUGGGAAGGCUUCGUCUGGCAGCAAACACUGACCUGAGGCAGCAUCCUGCACACCACUUCCUGACAGCUCACUGACAUUGUGACUCAUGUCAUGGUGAUCCAACAACUCCACCAACCUGAACCACCACAAAGGUCGUUUGUUCUAGCCCUCUUAUACAACCCACAGGAGUGUCUUCUGAAAUAGUGGACCUUUGUUGUCAUAUUUACAGUAAUAAAUAUGCAGACCGUACCAACAACAAUGUACUGGAGCCUCUUCACCAUCGUUACAAUAAUAAACGGUCAGGUUUGUUUAGAUUUAGGAAAAGAUUGUGAUUUGGAUUAAAAUAAAUACUUCUUCAACGUUAGAUGAUCUUUGCUGUCAUGGUUACAAUGAUAACCUGGUUAAUUUUGCUGAACAGUCAUGGAUAAAAGAAACUAUAUAAAAUGCUUCUUUCACAUGAGAAUUGAACACCACUCUCCAGUGUCAUAUUCAUCCAUCCACAACAAAAUCUUCCUGACGUGGACUUUGUCUCUCUGUAUACGACGUCACCGCACUUUUCCCUUUGCUCUUGUCAUAAUUACUGUGACAACUACAUGGUGCCUAGCAACAAAAUGUAAGUAUGGGUCAUAAUGACCUGCUGCACAGACGACCCUAUGGGCUCGUUGUUUAGAAGAGGACAGUCUCAGGGAUCCUCAUUUUGACCUUAAGGAAAGAAGAAUUACUUUUUACUCGAUGGCUGAAUCAUGCUAACAUGCUAACAUACUAAUGUGAAUGGCUUUGUGAAUUAGCAGCAUUUGACUGCUUAAACCAUUAAAUAAAAAGUCACAAUAGAUUUGUCUUUUUGAGAUGGGGAGUCAGUGCUUAUCAUGUCCAAAUAGUUAAACUCAAAUCACCUAAAAAAACAAGUGUCUGAUGAGGGUCUUUAGUAUCCCUUCAGAAGUGGAACAUGUUCCACAUGUCAAUGCUCAGCUAAGGAACAAGAAAAAUAAGCAACUUUCCAUUUUUAACACUUUUGCACAUCACAACCUGCAGUCUAUAUAAAUAUAUUUCAUAAUAAUGAUUUUAAAUCUUCAUCUUUUAAAAUUUUGAGUUCCUGUCUAAUUUUCCAAUAAUAAUCUAAUAUUUUUGACUGAAUAGAUUUUGUUUGAAAUUAUUUCAAGCUUUUCAUCGUUUUGUUUUCUCCACUUUGUGUUUUCCUGGUGCAAAUAGGUUUUUGUUGUAAAAUUAUCAUUCUCAUGUGUUGCACAUUGUGUUGCUACUUUUGCCUUUUCUUUAGCUGGAAUAUGCAAAAUGUUUAUAAAUAUCCUAAAAGAUAAAUUGGUUUUUAAAAGUGGAAAUACCAGGAAACCAAACACUCAUAUGAAAAGUUUGGAAACAAACAUAUUGUACAACUUGCUGAGAAUGCAGAUAUCUAAUCAUUAGCUGUUGCUGCUCUCUGGCCAACACUCUACAUCCCACUGACCACCACAGUCUUUCUUUUAACGCUGAUGCCAUGAGAUCUGUGCUCUCUGCAGUGAAGCAGAGAAUGCAAUAAUAGAUGGAGGAAUGGCUUUAAGUGGGUGAGGAGGGAGUCCCAUUCAUUAGACACUGGGGUCUCUUUCACCACUCACAUAAAGCGGCACUAUAUUUGCAUGUAAUAAGAGGUGCAGAGGCCAGGCGUGAGGACAAUGGCUGGUCUAAUGAUGGACUGUGGGGAUUGUGAGGGCAAGUACAGGGCCAAAGAACAGCACUGCGCACCAGAUUAUAUCUGUAAUUGCCAACAGGUGCAAAGACACAGCAGACACAUCAGCUCUUCAACUGGAAAUCUACAAUUUAAGAUUCUCCAAUGUUUCAUGUCCUGAUGUUUCCACAUGGGGGCUGAAUACCCUGUAUUUACUAUUGGAAUGGAUGUAUCCUCAACUGGUUUUGUGUGUGUGUGUGUGUGUGUGUGUGUGUGUGUGUGUGUGUGUGUGUGUGUGUGUGUGGAAGUCAUACCAUUGAGAGAGCUGUGUCCUCUCAGCUGCUGCAUUUACAUUGAAAUCACUUUCUUUCUCCGGAGCCAUCCUGAAGCCUGACAGGCUGGGAGAGCUUCACUGAUAUGAGCCUAAUCCCUGUGCACACAGCCACAUUAACACACUGACAAAUUACACUAACUCACUGCUCAGCACCAGACAACAGAUUAACUUGUGAACACAGUGGAGGAUCUAGCAGCUAAAGAGCCAGAUUUUUCACCAUAUUAACAAUUCAAUAUAAUACUCAACUUCAUAUUUUAGUGUUUGUAUCUAUAUUUGUUAUUUUAUCUUUUAUUAUUAGAAAAAAUCCUUCCUUUUUUUUCUUUCUUUUUUUUUGAUGUUGAGGAGCAGUAUUGCUAAUUUUGUUGUAUGCAGAGCUUACAGUAACGAUAAAGGCUUUCUAAUGUUCAACCACAGUUGGUAGGGACCAUACCUAGAGCUAAAACAGAGAAAAUACUGGACUUAGAUUCAUCAGGUGUCAUAGCCUGUUCUGCUUUCACCUGCUGCUUCAGUGUUUUUCCACUUACCCCGCUUCCGUCUCACCCCACUGGCCAAAUCAGUGCCUUCAGGUCCACCUUGGGCUCUCAACUGCAUCUCAUCACUCAUUAAGCCAGUAUAUAUGCAUCUCCGGUUCGUUCAAUUGUUGCCAGAUUGUUCUCUGUACUCAUGCAAGACUUUCCAGUGGUCAUCUCCGGACUGACUUCUUGGUAUCGACCCCACUUGUCUCUGACCAUCCUGCCUCAUCUCUGACCCAGUAAACGACUCAGCCUUUUGUCCCUGACCACGAGUUGCCACAUGAGUUUCCCUACCAUCUUAAAAGACUUCAAAGACUCCUGCUUCGUCAACGCAGCUGUCUUUGUGGGUUCGUCUUUCACCCUGAGACCUGUGGCCCCUUCCUGACAAACUGUUCCCUGUUGUUUUCUCUGCAACCCCGCAUGUUUGCAUCUGAGGAGGCUAAGGUAUUCUUCACCAUCAACCACCUGACGGGGAAGGCUCGUCUCUGUGCGACCACCGAGUGGGAGAUACAGACUACAGCCUGCACCUCCUUCCAGCUCUUCUUCGAGGAGCUCCCCAAGGUUUUCACCAUGGGGGCCUUUGGUUUUUACGCAGCACAGGGCCUGAUGAGCAUGCAUCAGGGGGACCGGAGAAACUGACUUCUCCAUCGACUUCCACACCAAGUCUCGCCAGAGUGACUGGAGCUCAUCCGCCCUAAGUGACGUUUUUCUUCAUUGCCUCGCUAAUUAUAUUAAAGAUGAACUGGUGCUGCAUGACCUUCUGUCUACGUUGGAUAGGUUGAUCGAGUUGGCUACGAGGUUGGACCUUCGUAUCCAGGAACAGAGAUGGGAGAAGAGGCAGAGUGGUGCAGCUCAUCACCCUUCAGUUACCCCUUGGGUCUCUUCCUCCUCCAUCAGCCCCAGCGCUCCUGCAGGGCCGCUUCCAGGGGGUCCUAAGCCCAUGCGACUGGGACACAUCAGCUUCACUACAGAGGAGUGGGAGCGUCGUCGUCAGGGCAACCUCUGCAAGUACUGUGGCCAGGCCAGCCGUUUUGUAUCCCGCUGCCCAUAAAAAGCCAGGGCUCACCAGUAGAGGGGGAAUUUCUGGUGAGCCAUGCCUCCACGCAACCUUCCCUCAACCAAGCUUCUCCUCUCUCCGCAAAGCCUAUCAUCGGGUCUGGAUGUUGGAGGGCGAUGAGUGGAAGACGGUCUUCAACACACCCACUGGUCAUUACGAGUACCUCGUCAUGCCUUUUGGCUUAACCAAUGCCCUGGCCAUGUUACAAGCCUUGGUGAACGUGCUGAGGGACAUGUUGAACCAUUACAUGUUCAUCUACCAAGAUGACAUCCUCAUCUUCUCAAAGUUCCACGGAGAGCACAUCCACCAUGUCCAGACGGUCUUGCAAUGGCUCCUGGCCAGUCCCUGACUCCCGCAAGCAACUGCAACACUUCCUGGGGUAUGUCGAUUUCUACCGCCACUUCAUCCGCAACUUCAGCAGCAUUGCUGCCCCCCUAUCAGCCCUUACCUCCUCCAAGGUGCCCUUCUGCUGGAACCCGUCCGCCAAUGAGGUCUUCCUCACCCUAAAGGCCUGUUUCGCCUCAGCCCCCAUCCUUCAAGUGCCAGAUCCCGAGCGCCAGUUUGUCAUGGAGAUGGACGCCUCCGAUGUGGGACCUGGGGCCGUCCUAUCCCAGCGUGCAGCCUCUGACCAGAAUCUUCUCCCCUGUGCCUUCUCUGCGUCCCCUGCUGAGAGAAACUACGGCAUCGGCAACCAGGAGCUCCUAGCCGUCAAGCUGGCAUUGGAGGAGUGGCUGGAGGGGACCAAGCAACCUUGAGUACAUCCAUACUGCCAAGAGACUGUACUCUCAUGAAGCCCGGUGGUCUCUCUUCUUCCCCCGCUUCGACUUCUCCCUCUCCUACCCUCCUGGGUACAGCAACGUCAAGUCUGAUGCCUUGUCAUGCCUUGGGGAAAGAGACUCUGCCUCGUGGCCCAGCCUGAUCCUCCCUACUCCCUGCGUUGUCGCCACCCUUACCUGGGAAAUCGAGGAAAGGGUGAGGUCUGCGACCGAGGGUCAGCCUGGGCCAAGCUCUUGUCCCGCAGACCACCUGUUCAUUCCCCCAGACAAAUAGAUGUCUCCAAAUGAAUGAUAAUGUUGCUCCGGACAGUGUCUGCUAAGUUCACCAUACCAACUUAAAAGGUGGCUGUUGUAAAAAAAAAAAAAAAAAAGAAGAAGAAGAAGAAGAAGAGAAUGAGCUUGAGGAUCCAGACAAAUGAAAGAGCCCCAGUUCUCUUUAUUUAUUACCCUUCAGGAUACGUGUGAGCGCGCAUGCGUGUGUGUGGUGUGUGCGAAAGAGAGUGAAUGCAUGUGUGCAUGAAGGGUAUGUAAGAUUGAAGUCUAUCAUUUGCUAAUUUUGUUUACUUUUUAUAAGGUUCCAAUAACUCAUAUAUCAUUGUCACCGUAUAAACAAAAGGACUUUACUAUUGGUACAUAUUGUGUUUUGUGUUUGUAACUAGCUUCCUAUUUAAGAAUGUAUAUUUGUAUGUAUGAUAUACUCAUCUAGAAACUAUAUAAUGGACAGUUUUAAUAUUGCUUCAUCUUCUCACCACUACACUGCUCUGCCAGGACAUGUUAACAAACACAUGAGCAAGAACACAUCGAUAACACAAAAACACUGCAGUCACUUCAAAGAACAAUGAAUCCUACAAGAAUUAGUUUAACAUUUUCUUUCUAAUGAGGUUACUUUGUGGAACUGCAAACAUCAGUAAUAAUAAUAAUAAUAAUAAUAAUGGAGGGCUCUCAGUGGUGGAACACUACCUCUGGUGGCCAUAUUGGAGGUCCUUGGUUCUGUGUUACCUGGAAACAGCUGUCGAGACGUGGUUGAUUUGAAUCUGCUUUAAAGCUUGAGCUUAUAUUUUAAUGAAUGAUACAUGUGGCAGAAUGUUGGCUAGCUAGCUAACUGACUAGUAUUUGUCAGGUAACUGUCACCAUUUUGAUAUCAAUCUGAGUUUAACACUAAAGUGCACAUCUAGUAGCUAGUUCUAUAUGAUCAUAUUAAUUUCUGUCAACAAUUUCUCUUUCCUUAUUUGCUAGCAGCCUGGAUCGGUCAAAAUUGCUUAUUUGGACAUUUGGAAAGGAAAUAUUUUUUUUACAGUGUUACUUUUGUAGCUUCGACCAUCAUUGUCAUCAGUUAUCAAAAUAUUUCACUCACAAAUAACAAUGCUGUGAUUUAGAUUUAUCUGUAAAACUGGGGGCAGAAAGUAGACAGUUAAAAUUUGAAUGUGGGCAGUUUGGUUAGUAUGGAUGUAUUAAGCUUAAUAUGGCGAAAUGAGUUCAGGCUGAAACUUGAGUCUCUUGGCUACAUGUUCAUCCUUCAGAGACGUUUGUGUGGCUGUUGCUUUUAUACUCUUUGGUACAACUUGUUUAAGGUUUACAUUUCAGAUCACCCAAUCAGCUUAAUUUACCUGUAGAUCUCCGCAAUGCAUUGUUAAGAUUUGGAUCUGAGUGCAUCUGGCUUCUGUGACAAACUUUGUCAAGGCUCACAGAGACGUUUGCAUGGCUUUUUCUUUUAUGCUUGUAGGUAUAUGUUCUUCAAUCUUUUUUUUUUCUUUUUUUUCUAUUAUCCAUUUCGGAUCAACCAAUCACCCACCUGUAUCUCCCUUCUUUGUCAAGGUUCACAGAGACAUUUACAUGCAUCUUUGCAGAAACAUAAUUCCGUCAUAGAUACUGCAGUAAAAAAAAAAAAAAAAAAUACUUCUUUUUUUUUUGGGCUUUUGUGCCUUUAUUGGACAGGAUAGUAGAGAGAGUCAGGAAAUGGGGAGGCAGAGAGAGGGGGAAUGACAUGCAGCAAAGGCCAUCCAAUGCAGGACUUGAACCGGGGCCAACUGCAGCGAGGACACAACAACCCUACUAUAAUAUACUCUUGAACACAAGAAUAAAACAGACUUAAAUGUUAAAGAUGAUGACCUUGAGUUUUAACCAAUGUCUAUAAUUAUUCUUUGUGUAAUGAGUUUUUAAAUCAUGAGAAGAUUUUUUGUCAAACUUUCAAACCAGGGACUAGAAAAGUUAUUUUAUGCUUGUGACAUCAUCUCAGUGUAAAGUCUAUGAGACUGGCACCUAAAAAACUAAGAGGUGAGACAUUUUGGUGCAUGCACUGGAUGAGCAACCUACUCUGAAAUAAACAGGGUGCCAUAAUAUCUUCCUUCAUCUAUCAGAAUGAUGGCCAAAACUGCAAAAGUAAGUAUCUGGUUGUAGAAAGAUAUUAGUAAAAAUUUCCAUUGGACCCCCAUGAUGGAACCAGGUGUGGCUGAUGUGAGUUGUGUGUUGUAGCUGAAAAAGCCGCUCUGACAUUAAUGAUUUAAUGUUGAUGGUACACACAUAACAUGACAGGGACAGCAUCAACCAGUGUGCAGAAUAUAGACGCAAUACCGUAAUGGACAACAGCUGUAAGUGUGUGUGAGUGUGUGCGUGUGUGAGUGUAUUAAAAACUGGCAAUAGCUAAGCAUUAGUGCUUCCAUCCAUGUAAAAGAGCUAAUGUACAAAAGGUAAAACAGUGAGGCAAUAGGCUGUGUGGCCCGGCUGUGUGAUUUGGCCCACGACAAUCCUCCUUCUACUUUAUGUGAUGCCAUCAAACCAUCUGCAAUAUUCUACCAGAAUCAGCUUGUCUGUGUCAACAACUGCAGAUUUCUGUCCCACAGUCAAAUGUAAAAUCUGCAGCUUUUUAUCCAAUGAAUUUGGCAACUGUAGGGAGUGCUGUACAGUGUGUGUGUGUGUGUGUGUGUGUGUGUGCAGUGUUUAGGUGGUGAAUAACUUCUGAUUAGUCCCUCCACCACCAACACGAGACUUCCACCAUAUGUGUGCCCCUCAACAUCGUACAUGUUCUAUGUGUUUCUGAGCUUUUUCUGACACUAUGACAACAGUUUAUGAUGUUUCAUCUACAAAGAUUUUUAUUUUAAUUUUUAUUUUGAUUAUUUGUGUCAAUAUUAUCUGAGUAUUACAGUUUAGACAUAUUAUGGUAAUAAUUGUGAAGUACCAUCAAUAUAAUGGCUUCCUCUUUGAUAUCAACUGAAACAAUAAUAAUGGCCCAACACUGUUGAUUAGAUGACGAGAUGAUGCUGCAAAUGUGAAGCCACACACACACACACACACACACACACACACACACACACACACAAUCACACACACACACACACACACACACACACACACACACACACACACACACACACACUUAUGAUAUAGAAGUCUUGUCUGUUAAACUACCUGCACCUAUCUAGUCUUAUCAGCUACAGUACUGUAGGAUCCUGCAGCCCCUCCACGCGCCCCUGCAACUGACAUCUGCUUGAUAUCAGUUUGUCACGUUCACAGAUAGGUUCACAUGAUGUCAUCAUCCUUUUUUUCGAUACCAAUCAUGAGGUGAUGCUUUCAAAAAGUGAGUACACUGUAAGAACUAUCUGUGGCUACAGCAGUCUGCUACAGUCUGCUACAGUCGACUACAGCAGUCUGGGUAAGCCAAAUGGAAUCAUGAUCUUCAUCUGCAUCUACGUUUGUUGCCAGAUGUUUUUCUGUGGUUGACCAAGCCAGAGCAAAAUUGACUAUAACUAUAUGGGACUUAGAUUUGUAUGGUGGCUGGAUGGAGAGCCCGUGUUGUUUUGAUGCUGGAAUUGCUGAGUUGUCUUUUGUGUCUUCUCUGCCCUGAAAUGGUCCAAUACCACUUAAUUUAACUUUAAAUACACUGAUUGGUUAUUUGGGAACACAGUAAAGGGAGGCUGAAUUAGCACUACACAACUAUUAAGGAGUGUCCAUCCACCCUGACUCAGAAAACACAACUGUAGCUGUAAUGUACCAAAUGAUUUGGCGAACUCAAAGUGCAUAACCAUUCAUCUAUAUUUAGUUGCAUUGAAAAUUUACACAUAAAAAUACUUAAGUGGAAAUCUAAGAAAUUUACAAAAAAAAAAUAUUAUAUUUAAAAUAUUAUAACAAAAACUGGACAAAAACAAAAAGUGCCAUAGUUGUGUUACAAGAGUACACCCAGUCUGUUCGGGUGUACUCUUGUAACAUCUCCUCAGCUUCUGCUCCACUGAAGAGAUAAUAAAAUGGCAGAUGAAAACAUCACAGCUGUGUGGAGUGAUCAGGAGGCUGUAACCUUUGGAUUGAAAGAUCUUUUCCAUCUGAUCUUUUGAGUGUAGAAGUGUAGAUUCCACUAUCUAUUACAGUGUAGUCUCUAGAUGGGGAGACGACUUAAUUUUCACAGUGAAACCAUGACUCUUUCAACAUGGAGACAACAGAGAAUCUGAACCUAUCUUUUAAAGGAGGCAAAAUAAAGAGAAGGAAUUGCCUUUUGACUAGAGAGAGUAAAGUGGCUCUGGGGUGACACAAAACCAUGAUGUGCUCAAUGUUGUUUUGAAAAUGCACUUUAAACAAAAACCAUUUACAUUCCAGCAUCUAUGCUCGCUUUUACGCACUUGAUUUGCCCCUAAUGAUAAAAUAUAUAGGCUAUAUACAUAUAGGAUCUAUAGGGUAGAUCCUACCCUCUUCCCUUAUAGAUCCUACCCUCUGCCUCAUGCAGAGCAAAGCAACAAUAUGGUCCCUGGUUUUGAACCUUUGAGACAGAUUGAGGAGAGCUUGUAGAAACGCUGUACUCAAAGUUAUCUCAUGGCUUUUCAGUGUCAUCCCUGGGCUGUGAUUGUACAGUGGGAGUAAAAAAAAGAAGUGGGGAGGAGAGGAGUGCGUAAUACCAGUAAAGCAGCAUGACAGAAGACAGAAGACGGUAAAUACCAUUGAACUGUGCUGAGCCUUUUGUGGCUUUAAGGGAUUGCAGGCAGCAUUAGCAUUAUUUUGGUAUGUCACCCCCACCCACCCACUCACCCACACACACAAACACACACUCACACACACACACACACACUCACACACACACACACACACACACACACACACACACCACACACACACACACACAUCCCACCCCCAACACUCUUAUGUCUGUGGACCUUUGGCAGCCUACAGUCUUGUAUAAAACUUGUACUUUUGAAUCCUGUGUGGGCAGAGGUCUUGAGGCACCCUUCUCAAACUUGAAUGUUCUUACUAUAUUUCAAAUAAAAUCCAGUGAAGGAACGACUUGGUGGAAUUGCACAUUCAGCACUGUGACAGGAAAAUGAGAAUAUUAAUAGAAAUAUCAAAGGUGGAAAUUGAUAAGAUGACACACCUUCAUUGACGAGAAACAGUGAUGCUUCCACUAUGUUUGUAUACAGGGUUGCAAAUAAACAUUGUUCCCUUAAUACUAAGAGAAAUCAUAUGUGAAUAUACAUGUAUGAUGAAUAUAUAAAAAUAUAAGGCAUCUAUUUUUGGCAUUGUUUAUCAGAAGUGGUAUUGGAUCUAGUGUGUGAACAAUGAAUCUAUGUUUGCAACUUUUUUUUCAACAAUGCUUCUCUCACAUUUUAUUUUUUGUAUGCUGCACUGAAAAUCAUUUUUACAUGUGGUUUGGAAAACAGAAGUGUCAUCACUUCAUCAAGUGAAACAAUAUAGUAUUUAGUAGAGUAGCUGUUGCAUUAUUUGUUACAACCUGUAUGUAAUGUUAUUAUGGAAGAUGUAAUGUCCUUCUGUAAAUGUUGUUUAAUGUUGUUUUACCUGAAAUAAAAUUUAUUAAUGCUU